UCUUGGUUCCCCUACUCUGGGUAAAGACUCUGUAUAUUUAACCUGUCUAUUCCCUUCAUGCUUUGGUAAACCUUUAUGCAAUCACCCCUCAUCUUCUUGAGCUCCUAGGAACAAAUUCCUUGCCCAACCUCUCCCUGUAGGUCAGGCCCGCAAGUCCUGGCAACAUCCUGGCAACAUACUUCUCUGCACUCGUUCCAGCUUAACCACGGCUGAGACAGAACUAAGAUCCUUUCAAAAAUGAGAGACAUUUGAUUGGCAAUUUAAAUACUACAAAUAAUGAUCAACAAAUCUACCUCCAAAGCAAAUGACUAUUUCUUGUCAAAAGUGAGUCAGGAUGUUGAAACUGAGGAUCAACCUCCAUGAAAACUUGAUACUGAAUAAAACAUGAAGUCUGCUUUUAUUUUAGUUGUUAAAGGCAUUCUCCCCCUUGCUUGUCCUACAAUAUCCUACACCAUGAGGCUCCUGCAGAAUAUCCUCACCAUUAUCAGGCUGUGGGCAGUAGAUUCACAACAGCUGACACAUUUACAUUCUCAUUGAUGGGACUUUGGAAUUGGCACGGCUUUCCAGUGGCAAAUGUUCAGCUAAUAUUUCACUAAAACAGCAAGCCGUGUGGUAUCCUCAAACACACAGACACACCUUGGUGUAAACCGCCCGCCGACAGACAACAUGUAUGUGACGUGUGAGAGUUGUGUUGGUUCUGGUUCACAAGAAAUACUGAAAUUAAAAUAAGAUUGUACAUGACAAUUAAUGUAAAACGAUGGAAUUACAGUGUCGGGAAAAUUUGUCUCCAAACAAAUAGCAUUUUGUCAAAAAUAUCUGUAGAUUGGCGAGACCAAGCGCAGGCUCAGCGAUCGUUUCGCUGAACACCUCCGCUCAGUCCACCUGGACAAUGAGACUUUGAAUGAACCUUGGCAACAUGCAUGGUACCUGGUAUUUUCCACUACACCUGUUACAUGUAUAAACAUUGCCCACCUCACACGGGCUGGCUGGUCCCAGUCUUAUUCAGCUGAACGUGUGUGUUCUACACCUCACCACUAAGGGAACAAACCCAUCCUCCAUUCAUCCUCUUGUAUCCAUUCAUCAUUUACACUUCAAUUCGAUCACUGUAUAAGGUUGCACACCAUGAGUACAAGGCACAAACACGCAAUCACUUGGUCGCGUGCCGGUCAAUUUGUAUUGCACCCCUUACACAGCAUGUAGAUCAACUCGGACUCAGUGUCGUAUUAACACAGGAUCUGGCCCAGAUAUAGAUCUUUGCUGAUUUGUUUGACCUGUGAACAUAUCCCAGUGUACGGGUUACAAAUGGGUCAUGUGAGUUUGCAAUGUGCUGGGGCUGCUAAAUACAAUGAGAUCAUGUCAUAAAUACAAUGUCAUAAAACAUUGCAAUGCAAAACUGAGGAAACACACAGAGUGCUGGAGUAACUCAGCAGGUCAAGCAGCAUCUGUGGAGAACAUGGAUAGGUGACUGUUCGGGUCAGGACCCUUCUUCACACUGGAGUGACGCUUCUGUUGAAAUGAGUGACUUGAUGUGUGAAAGCUAAAACAGGCAGAAGUUGUACUUUCAAUGAAUGCUGGGCAUCCAAGUCAUUGUGGGGACAACGAGGUGAGGUUGACGUCGUACAGUUGUUGUGGCGUUGUAUGUAUCCAACUUUGCACGUGGUCAGAUUCCACGGACAAUGCUGACAUGGGUGGCCAGUAAUUUACUGUAGUGAUAGUGGUUACUGUAGCAUGGGCACCCUGGUCUUCCAAAUCAGCCACAGCACAACCUAUGUGACAGAUGUGUAUACUCGUCUAGAAGACAACAAGGUAAGCCGAGGAUGCAUAGUGACUCCGUGCAGAGA